ACGAACGCUGGCGGCGUGCUUCACACAUGCAAGUCGAACGGAAAGGCCCUGCUUUUGUGGGGUGCUCGAGUGGCGAACGGGUGAGUAACACGUGAGUAACCUGCCCUUGACUUUGGGAUAACUUCAGGAAACUGGGGCUAAUACCGGAUAGGAGCUCCUGCUGCAUGGUGGGGGUUGGAAAGUUUCGGCGGUUGGGGAUGGACUCGCGGCUUAUCAGCUUGUUGGUGGGGUAGUGGCUUACCAAGGCUUUGACGGGUAGCCGGCCUGAGAGGGUGACCGGCCACAUUGGGACUGAGAUACGGCCCAGACUCCUACGGGAGGCAGCAGUGGGGAAUAUUGCACAAUGGGCGGAAGCCUGAUGCAGCAACGCCGCGUGCGGGAUGACGGCCUUCGGGUUGUAAACCGUUUUCGCCUGUGACGAAGCGUGAGUGACGGUAAUGGGUAAAGAAGCACCGGCUAACUACGUG
rnacentral:rRNA from 1 species